AACGAACGCUGGCGGCAUGCCUAACACAUGCAAGUCGAACGAGACCUUCGGGUCUAGUGGCGCACGGGUGCGUAACGCGUGGGAACCUGCCCUUAGGUUCGGAAUAACUCCCCGAAAGGGGUGCUAAUACCGGAUAAUGUCUUCGGACCAAAGAUUUAUCGCCUUUGGAUGGGCCCGCGUUGGAUUAGCUAGUUGGUAGGGUAAAAGCCUACCAAGGCGACGAUCCAUAGCUGGUCUGAGAGGAUGAUCAGCCACACUGGGACUGAGACACGGCCCAGACUCCUACGGGAGGGAGCAGUGGGGAAUAUUGGGCAAUGAGCGAAAGCCUGAUCCAGCAAUGCCGCGUGAGUGAUGAAGGCCUUAGGGUUGUAAAGCUGUUUUACCCGAGAUGAUAAUGACAGUACCGGGUGAAUAAGCUCCGGCUAACUCCGUG
rnacentral:rRNA from 1 species